UCGGCUAGACUUUAUAAACUUAUACUCUAAUUAAUGUUAAUUUAGAGUUAUUUUGGUAUUGAUUUUUAAUUUUAGGGUGAAAUCAGAAAUUAUUUUUAUUUAAACUCUAAAUUUUAAGAUUUAGUAAACAAACCAGAUUAGUACCUGGUUAGAUAAAAUUUAAAAGAGCAGGAGUAAAGUUAUAUUUAAACUGUAAGAAUAUUGGCAGGUUUUUAAAUUAUCUUUGGAGGCUGAGUAGUGAUUGAGAGCCCUCAUUUUCAACUUUUUCUUUAGGCGCAUGUAUGAUCGUUUAUUUUAUUCUUAAGGAUUGUAAUUUUAGUCUUUGCUAUAAAAAUAGAUAGAUAUCUGGCUUAUGAGAAAGAUUUAAUUUGGCCUACAAUAAUUUAAUUUUUGGAUUCUAGUUUUAGAGGCUAGAUGAAAUUGUAAAAGACAGUAAGUUGCUUUUAAUGGGUAGCUGAAGUUUAUUUAAAAACGGUACAAAUCAUCCAUCAAUUGCCUAUAGGGGAGUAAGUUG
rnacentral:ncRNA from 1 species